AGGGUUUAAUGAAUUUGUUAAUUUACAGACCCAACCAUAGGAUAAACGGAUUGCCCACCCAAACCCAACUAAAACGGAUCCUAUCCUAUUAAUUUAUUAAAAAAUUGAAAACCACAAGACAAAAACAAAAAAACAAAAUCCCUUCCCCUUUUUCGUUAUCUUCUUCUUUCUUCAAAUUCAACUUUCAAAUCCCAUUUUAGAGAACUCUAUCAAUAAUAUUUCCUUCUCCAAUUCAUUCAUUCUUCAAUUUCAUUCAUAUUGAUUGAUUUACUUGUAUUCUCCUUUCUCGUUUUAGAUCCAAUCAGUUUCUAGGGUUCUCAAUAAAAACCAACCAUUGAUCUGAGAUGGCUGAUAUCAUGAAGCAAAUCUUAGCGAAGCCGAUCCAAUUGUCUGACCAGGUGAUGAAAGCGGCUGAUGAGGCUAGUUGGUCUUUUGGUCAAGGCGAAGACUGAGAAGCUUGCUGGUCUUCUCCGCCAGGUUUCCCGCGCUAGUUCUGAUCUAUACGAGCGUCCCACUCACCGUAUCAUCGAUGACACGGAGCAGAUACUGGAGCAGGCUUUCUCCCUCGUCCUCAAGUGUCGAGCCAAGGCAUCAUGAAGCACGUCUUCACCAUCAUCUCCUCCGCCGCUUCCGCAAGAUGUCUCCGCUCCCGUUGGGGAUCACGGUGACGCUGGUUACCUUGGUCUUCCUCCUAUCGCCGCCAAUGAGCCCAUCCUCUGCCUCAUCUGGGAGCAUAUUGCUCUUCUCCACACCGGACCCCUUGAAGACCGCUCAAAUGCUGCCACUUCCCUCGUUUCUCUUGCCCGCGAUAGCGAUCGCUACACUAAGCUUAUCAUCGCGGAAGGAGGCAUAGGGCCUCUCCUUAUAGCAGGGGAACAAGUGUCGGCGGCGGCUUACUUCACUUGUUGCUGAAAUUCGACGAGAGAAACGAUGGGUGUGUAGAACUAGAAGCUCAUCGGAGUUUUAGCUCACUUAUCCAUUCCAAUCCGCAGUUAAGAGGAUUUCUAUCAAGUCGAAGGCUUGGCGUGAGAUGUUCUGUUUCGCUCGAUAGAGAUACUCCCAUUACUGAUUCGUUCUCUUCUCACCCGAAUUUCUUCACUCGAGCUAAACAAGUGAAGGGAAUUGAGAUCAGUGAUCAACAUAGCUUGGCUAUAUGGUCUUUGAUGCAUCACAGUGGGUGCAAAUUCCUUUCACCGACAGGAAGACCGAUGAGAUCAAAGAGCCAAAGAAGAAGCAUAAAACAAAGGCUAAGGCUUAAAAGAUUUGUGGGUUAACAUAUUUUGCAUGUUUAUUAUGUAUCUCGGUUUUUCUUUUGAACUUAUGUAGGAUGAUAUGUAAGUUUUGCUUGUGUUGAAUCCAUGUAGGAUGAUAUAUAAGACUAUUGCUUGUGUUGUUGCA